AUUACUCUAAUAGUUUAUAAAAACAUUGGUCU
rnacentral:tRNA from 1 species